rnacentral:rRNA from 1 species
UGGUAAUUCUAGAGCUAAUACAUGCUAAAAACCUCGACUUCGGAAGGGGUGUAUUUAUUAGAUAAAAAACCAAUGCCCUUCGGGGCUCCUUGGUGAAUCAUAAUAACUUAACGAAUCGCAUGGCCUUGCGCCGGCGAUGGUUCAUUCAAAUUUCUGCCCUAUCAACUUUCGAUGGUAGGAUAGUGGCCUACCAUGGUGGCAACGGGUAACGGGGAAUUAGGGUUCGAUUCCGGAGAGGGAGCCUGAGAAACGGCUACCACAUCCAAGGAAGGCAGCAGGCGCGCAAAUUACCCAAUCCCGACACGGGGAGGUAGUGACAAUAAAUACUGAUACGGGGCUCUUUUGGGUCUCGUAAUUGGAAUGAGUACAAUCUAAAUCCCUUAACGAGGAACAAUUGGAGGGCAAGUCUGGUGCCAGCAGCCGCGGUAAUUCCAGCUCCAAUAGCGUAUAUUAAAGUUGUUGCAGUUAAAAAGCUCGUAGUUGAACCUUGGGUCUGGCUGGCCGGUCCGCCUCACCGCGAGUACUGGUCCGGCUGGACCUUUCCUUCUGGGGAACCUCAUGGCCUUCACUGGCUGUGGGGGGAACCAGGACUUUUACUGUGAAAAAAUUAGAGUGUUCAAAGCAGGCCUUUGCUCGAAUACAUUAGCAUGGAAUAAUAGAAUAGGACGUGCGGUUCUAUUUUGUUGGUUUCUAGGACCGCCGUAAUGAUUAAUAGGGAUAGUCGGGGGCGUCAGUAUUCAGCUGUCAGAGGUGAAAUUCUUGGAUUUGCUGAAGACUAACUACUGC